rnacentral:rRNA from 1 species
UGGGGAAUAUUGCACAAUGGGGGAAACCCUGAUGCAGCGACGCCGCGUGAACGAAGAAGGUAUUCGUAUCGUAAAGUUCUGUCCUAUGGGAAGAUAAUGACAGUACCAUAGAAGAAAGCUCCGGCUAAAUACGUGCCAGCAGCCGCGGUAAUACGUAUGGAGCGAGCGUUGUCCGGAAUUAUUGGGCGUAAAGGGUACGCAGGCGGUUUAAUAAGUCGAAUGUUAAAGAUCGGGGCUCAACCCCGCAAAGCAUUGGAAACUGAUAACCUUGAGUAGUGGAGAGGAAAGUGGAAUUCCUAGUGUAGUGGUGAAAUACGUAGAUAUUAGGAGGAAUACCAGUAGCGAAGGCGACUUUCUGGACACAAACUGACGCUGAGGUACGAAAGCGUGGGGAGCAAACAGG